rnacentral:rRNA from 1 species
UUCGCAAUGCCCGAAAGGGUGACGAAGCGACGCCGCGUGAGCGAAGAAGGCCCUAGGGUUGUAAAGCUCUGUCGAGGGUUAUGAAAUAUAAAAAGGUUAAUACCCUUUUUGUUUGACAAAGGCCCCAAAGGAAGUCACGGCUAACUCUGUGCCGGCAGCCGCGGUAAUACAGAGGUGGCAAGCGUUGUUCGGUAUUAUUGGGCGUAAAGAGCACGUAGGUGGUUUUGUAAGUCAGGUGUGAAAGCCUUCUGUUUAAGGGAAGGACGGCAUCUGAAACUGCAGAUCUUGAGUGUAGGAGGGGAGAGUGGAACUUCUGGUGGAGCGGUGAAAUGCGUAGAUAUCAGAAGGAACGUCGGCGGCGAAAGCGACUCUCUGGCCUAUUACUGACACUGAGGUGCGAAAGUUAGGGGAGCAAACGGGAUUAGAUACCCCGGUAGUCCUAACCGUAAACGAUGGGCACUAAGUAGAGGGGUUUU